AUGACCUCGUAUUAGGGAUGUGAUAUAUAUAGAUAUCAUCAAGCCAGCCAGGUAAUGAGAAAUAUUUGAACUUUAUGACCUGCUACUAGCAAUUAACUACAACUGCAAAUUGACAUUUCCCUUUCGCUAUGGAAACCUCUUUCUCCCUCUCUAUAUGUACUUUCUUUUUAAAUGGUAAAAUUUCAAUGCACAUGGAUGACAUGGGUGAUAUCAGCUUCGUAAAUUUACGGGUCCCAAAAGAAACUGGAAGUAGACGGCUAUAACAUUUUGUUCCCUCAAAACCAAAGCGUUUUGUUUACGCAAAGUGUUCCAUACAAUGGAUCCCUUUCAGCGACAACGGAAAGCCAGUAAAUGAAUAAAUAAACGAAACACCGUCCCAUUGCCAAAGACACAGCGAUCCUUAAAACAAGUUAACGGGAUAACUGUGUUGAAAUCCUCACAGCUCUGCACACGGCGUCUGAGGAAACCUCUUCUACCUACAGGACUCGCACGGAAAUGGAUUCCAAGCCUGUCUCAUUGCUUCUGUUUAUGGCCUGCAUCACGGCGUGUUGCUGUUGGCCUAGUCCCACAGUCACAGUGACCGCGUCAAAUUUCAACUUCUGUAAUGUGAUGAACCCAUUUUACUUGGUCCGCUUCGGUUGUCCGACAGGCCCCUGGGAUCUUCAGUGCAAUUUUCAACUCCGGGUUAAAUGUAGAGGACAGUCAAGUGCUCGUGCCUGGGACUGCAAACCUCACGUAGGACCAACUUGCUGUGACUAUGUGUGCCCUUAACAACUUUGCUCUGGACUGCGUCCCAUCAUCAUUUGACUGUGAUCAUAAUUACUGAUCAUAAAGUAGCCUCUCAAUAACUAGAGUAGAAAACGAACUGAACAAUCUCGAGAAUUUUUUAUGUAUGAAAGUAUUACCAUAACCUUUGCAAGUUCUUUGUGUGAUUACUUUGUAGAGGGGGCGGGUGGGAAAAUCUAAAUAAAAUCAAUGAGAGGGAAAAAUUUGUAUUCUAUUUCACAACAUUCCCAUUCAUACUCAGUUGAAAUAAGAUAUGGGAAUAAUGAUUGACCAGCGCACCCUCGUUUAUCUGUAUCACCUUUCAAGGGUAACAUUUCCCUAUGCGAUGGACACACUUAGUUUUUGGAACACCCCAUGCUUAUUCUCCCACUCUCCCCAAACUCUAAAAUCUAAGAGGCUUAAGCUGCCACAUGUCAGACUCCCGCCUUUUCAAAAAUGUUCAACCUUUCUGCUGAGAUUAUGUGCUGUUAUCUCAUUGGCGACUUUAGCGCGGUUUCCGUAAUAAUCAAACUCAUGCUACUAGUCGAGGUUUCCCUGCUCAACUUGCAGAGAGAUUUGAUCUCGCAGUCAAAUACGUUACUCUUCUUCCGUGCCUAUGGUAUUUUAACUUAAGGCUGAGCGCAGGUCCGAAGAGGUUCCACAACAUUUAAUCUAUAUAAUGCAAAAAGUCGUAAUAAGCAAGAUCACAGUUCAAUUGACUUAUCAUUCCUUUAUGACUUUGGCAUCCUUUGCACUUGUUUUUGUUUUUGUUGUUGUUUUUCUUGUUUUCCAUUUUUUCCGUCACCGAACCUGUCACAUGCAUUGCACCUUAUAGCGUAAGCACCCAAAGUGUUCAUUCCUCUCCCUGUGGGGCAGUUAGGUGUUACUGUGCCGGUGGGAAACCGGCAGGCGGCUACGAUCCUUGGCAACUUUUCGCAUCAAGAAUUAUAACCAAUCAUCAAACAAGGGUUGUGGAAGUGUGGUUUUGGUACGUCAUAGUUUUUCCGCACUGUUUGAUGGACUAAUCAAGAGUGAUUGCUCUCCUCAUGUCGCUAGCCGUGUCUUUACAGAGUCUCAAGGACCUCAAGCCGGAAUUUCCAAUACUUCGUACUAUCAGCAGCGCGUCGUGUACACCAGGAUACGUUUGACGACUGACUUCACUGAUCCUUUGGAAACAGAUUCCUCCGACACCUUUUGUGUCAACAAUUCCUUCCCUCUUUUCUUUAGUAAAAAACACUUAGUCUUACAUAUGCAGUUCUCAAUUCAUAUAGCAUACACAUGUAAAAUGCCGAGUAGAGUGCUAUGCCGAGAGGAAUAUGAUGCAUAUAUCAUGUUAGAAAACAGCCCUAAGAAAAUACGCGCACUGAUUGGUUAAAAUCGUGUUUCUAUUA
rnacentral:lncRNA from 1 species